GAGAAAGUGGCAGAUUGGUAAUGCAUGUGACUUGAAAUUACAGCAGGGGGGUUCGACUCCUUCCUUUCUUG
rnacentral:tRNA from 1 species